GGUUUUAUAUUCAAUUAUGAUUUAAAAUUGCAAAUUUUAAGGUGUAAAUAUAUAUAUAUUUAUUAAAACUU
rnacentral:tRNA from 1 species